UACGUAGGGGGCAAGCGUUGUCCGGAAUCAUUGGGCGUAAAGAGCGUGUAGGCGGCUAGGUAGGUCCGUUGUGAAAACUCGAGGCUCAACCUCGAGACGCCGGUGGAAACCAUCUAGCUAGAGUCCGGAAGAGGAGAGUGGAAUUCCUGGUGUAGCGGUGAAAUGCGCAGAUAUCAAGAGGAACACCUGAGGUGAAGACGGGUUGCUGGGCUGACACUGACGCUGAGGCGCGAAAGCUAGGGUAGCAAACGGG
rnacentral:rRNA from 1 species